GAUGAACGCUGGCGGCGUGCCUAAUACAUGCAAGUCGAGCGAACAGACGAGGAGCUUGCUCCUCUGACGUUAGCGGCGGACGGGUGAGUAACACGUGGAUAACCUACCUAUAAGACUGGGAUAACUUCGGGAAACCGGAGCUAAUACCGGAUAAUAUAUUGAACCGCAUGGUUCAAUAGUGAAAGACGGUUUUGCUGUCACUUCUAGAUGGAUCCGCGCCGCAUUAGCUAGUUGGUAAGGUAACGGCUUACCAAGGGAACGAUGCGUAGCCGACCUGAGAGGGUGAUCGCCCACACUAGAACGUAGACAGGGUCCAGGCGCCUACGGGAGGCAGCAGUAGGGAAUCUUCCGCAAUGGGCGAAAGCUUGACGGAGCAACGCCGCGUGAGUGAUGAAGGUCUUCGGAUCGUAAAACUCUGUUAUUAGGGAAGAACAAAUGUGUAAGUAACUAUGCACGUCUUGACGGUACCUAAUCAGAAAGCCACGGCUAACUACGUG
rnacentral:rRNA from 1 species